UGAACUCUGUAAGCAGUCAGCUCGGUCCUGGACAUUGUUACUGACAUAAAGCUGCUCUCUGCAGCCAUGUUUGACCUGCUGCUUUGUAGGACUACAGUAAUGGAGGAUUUGGAGGCUGAACUCGGCUCUGUGACACUUUUUGUAGUGAACUGAUGAAAGCUGCGUCUCAGAUGGAUGUUAGUCCAACACAUCAGACACGACCUCUGCAGCUCUCAGUUGAUGUGCACAUGAAUGAUUUGUGUUUCCUCUGCAGGUGAAGGUAGAAAGUGUGUGUGAGCUGAUGUGAAUUGAGCAGCAUGGAUCAGUGUGAGGACAGAGAGGAGGGAGUCCCUCCCUCUAAAAGCACUCUGUGUGGGGAACAUGAGAGCCAGACCAAAGCUCAGAGCCCAGAGCUGUGGGGCGUACCAGGCUCAGCUGGACAUAACCCUAAAACUAAUCCAGAACCUGGACCUGAACCCAGCUGUGUUUCCUUAAAGAGCAACGAGUCGAAGGAAAUUAUUGAAAACUUUAACAAAAGACUGUUAUGUGACAAAAAGAUCAAUAAGAGGCCAGAAUCUCCUGGACCUGAACCCAGCUGUGUUUCCUUAAAGAGCAACAUGUCGAAGGGUGUUGGUGUUUACUUUAAAGGCUGUUCUUCUGCUGCUGAGAGAGUGGAGCAGGAGAGAGCAGAGGUUUCCACUGGUCAGUCUGCACAGCAACAUCAAACACACCUGGACUCUGUGGUUAUGCGGCUGGAGGACAACAUCACCAUGUUUGUGAAGAACGAGCUGAAGAAGAUCCAGAAGCUUCUGAGUCCAGAUCACCCAGAAACUUUAAAGAGCCAGAUGGAGGAUGAGGAGAUGUUUGGAGGUGAGGAUGAAGAUGAAAGAAAGAGCUGCAGAGAAGCAUUUCUGAAGAUCACACUCCACUUCUUGAGGAGACUUAAGCAGCAUGAGAUGGCUGACCAUCUGCAGAGCAAAAUAUUUGCUUCACUCUGUAAACGUGAACUUAAAGCCCAACUGAAGAAGAAGUUCCAGUGUGUGUUUGAGGGCAUCGCUAAAGCAGGAAGCCCAACCCUCCUGAAUCAGAUCUACACAGAGCUCCACAUCACAGAGGGAGGGACUGCAGAGGUCAAUGAUGAACAUGAGGUCAGACAGAUUGAAACAGCAUCCAGGAAACCAGACAGAGCAGAAACAACCAUCAGACAAGAAGACCUCUUUAAAGUCUCACCUGGAAGAGACGAACCAAUCAGAACAGUGCUGACAAAGGGAGUGGCUGGCAUUGGGAAAACAGUCUUAACACAGAAAUACAGCCUGGACUGGGCUGAAGACAAAGCCAACCAGGACAUCCAGUUCAUAUUUCCAUUCACUUUCAGAGAGCUGAAUGUGCUGAAAGAGGAAAAGUUCAGCUUGGUGGAACUUGUUCAUCACUUCUUUAAUCAAAGUAACCAAUCAGGAAUCUGCAGGCUUGAAGACUUCCAGGUUGUGUUCAUACUUGAUGGUCUGGAUGAGUGUCGACUUAAUUUGGACUUCAACAAAACUAAAAUCCUGACUGAAACAAGAAAGUCCACCUCAUUGGAUGAGCUGCUGACAAACCUCAUCAGAGGGAACCUGCUCCCUUCUGCUCGCCUUGGAUAA